GCGAAAGCCGGGUGCCCGGCUGCCUGCGAAGCCUGACAAACACCGGUGGUGCUCAUGGCCGCCAGACCUGCCCCCGGAGGGGGGGCUCCCUGGGUUUCUGGCCCCAGGGGGCUCCGGCAGGAAGCCAGCCAGCAGGGCCCGGUCCUGCGUCCCCGUGCCAUGGGUGGCAGUCCUGUCUCCGCGCCUCCUCGGGGGCGAGGUGGUCCCCUUCUGGUCUGAAGGUGCCGUGGAUGUCAGGUGACCCUGUGUGUGGCUGGCAAAGGCCGGGCAGCCCAGGCCGGGGUGGCAGGGCGGCCCCUCCCCAGCACCACCCCAGAGUGGCUUUGGCAUUCCAAGCAGGCCACGCCCCCAGAGCCGGGUCACCUGCAAGCACCACGGGUCCAAGUCCCGGCCAUGCUGACUGCGGAGUGUGUGCCAUCCCUGUCUAAUCCAGGCCCCGGCGACCGGCCGGCCCUCAGGACCCGGCCGAAGACACCUGCCUGGCUUCCCCGAGGCACCUUGGCCCCCGGAGGGCCUGGCACACCAGGGCCGAUGGUCCUCCCCGGUGAGCAGCCUGUAGAGACCCGGAAGUGAGCCCGGCACCUCCUUCACGGCGACACGUCUGGGGUCCUUCUGCGAAGAGGAGACGAGGACACAGACACACACGGGGACCACCCUGUGGGGACACUGGAUGGAGACGCAGCCACAGGCCCAGGAGAGGCCUCGGGAGCCAGCCCUGCGACACCCGGGUCUCCUACCCCGGCCGCCAGGACCCGACGCUCUAGUGUUGUCCCCUGGACGUACAGCCCCAGCGCGCGCACCUCUCCCCCACAGCAUGAGGGUGAGCACGUCCCUCCCCCCCGAAGGGCCCCGGGGCCUCCACCAUCCCUUCUCCCUUCCCUCCCCACCCUUCCUCCCCCCCAUUCCCCAGCGCCUGUGACCUGGUCAGCCUGCACGCUAUAGAGUUUUCCAUAAAUGGAAGUACAGUAUAUACGCUCUCUUGUUUGGCUUCUUUCCCCGGCAUAACUAUUGUGGGACUCAUUUGUGCCUCGCGUGCGUCGGCCCGCAUUCCUCUGGCUGCCAUGGUAUGGA